GACCAAGGAGUCUAACAUGUACGCGAGUCAUUGGGAAAGUAAACCCAAAGGCAUAAUGAAAGUGAAGAUUCAUAUUGUGAAUUUGAGGAGAGAUCAUGGUUCUGCUUGGGAUUCCGCAAGGUUUUCUGAGUAGAAUAUGCGCAUCUCCUGGACAUCUGAACUCUUGAGAGUUGGGUGUACCUAGAGCGUACACGUUGGGACCCGAAAGAUGGUGAACUAUGCCUGGUCAGGACGAAGUCAGGGGAAACCCUGAUGGAGGUUCGUAGAGAUUCUGACGUGCAAAUCGAUCUUCGGAACUGGGUAUAGGGGCGAAAGACUAAUCGAACCAUCUAGUAGCUGGUUCCCUCCGAAGUUUCCCUCAGGAUAGCUGGCGCUUAUACCAGUCUCAUCCGGUAAAGCGAAUGAUUAGAGGCCUUGGGGCCGAAACGACCUCAACCUAUUCUCAAACUUUAAAUGGGUGAGAAGUCAUGCUUGCUUGAUCGAAGCUAUGACAAUGGAUGGUGAGUGCCAAGUGGGCCACUCUU
rnacentral:rRNA from 1 species